CCAAGGAAGGCCUAGACCAAACCACCACACAUGCCCUACUGUUACCAGAAUUGCUCCUGGACCCCAGUGAUCUGGACCCUGACUUGCUGACUGGUUUCCCAGCCUACCUCAUCACCAUAGACAUCCUGAUGAUCUACUCCCGGUUCCUUAUUAACCUUACUAGUCCUGAUCCCAACCCCAAUAUGUGGACUGACUUUCUGGCUUGACAUGGGAACUGCCUAAGCAUCACAAACUUGCCUGAUGUACUGCACUCAGGGUGUCCCCCAGCUGCUCCUCCCACAAGCCUGCCCUGCUCCCUCACAGGAGAAGUGGGACAAGCCCUGGAUGGUGAGGAACUGUGUUGCCACCCCAGGCAGCCCCUGUGGGUCCCGACACCGUCACUCCCAGGGCGUCGCCAGCCCUGACAACAUCCACUUACUAAACCUUUUUUCCUUUGAAUAAAACAGCAAAUGUGAAACUCUGAA